rnacentral:lncRNA from 1 species
AUGUUACACGAGAAUCCAGAAGAGAUGCACUCCAGGAGUGCUGUGCAGUGCCAUAGAUGCCCUUUGCUGUGCACUGUGUGGUCAGAGGUUGUGUCUGUGCUGUCCCUGCUGUCCCUGACUGUUGUUGUCCCCCAGGGAUGGUGCUGGUGCGCACGGACGCCGGACAGCUCGUCAUGGUGCCCCAGCAGGCCCUGGCACAGGCUCAGAUGCAGGCCCAGGUGCAGACACAGGGACAGGGUCCUGCCAACAUGUCACCCAGGCUUUCUGUGCCCACCACUGGCCCUGUGUUUCGCCUCUCAACAGCUCAGCAGCCAACGUCCAUGGGCACCUCCAGCGUCCGCCUGGGGCUCCCCGUGCAAGCCAAGGUGGUGCCAUCGACAGCAGCGCCCGCCAGCGCCACAGCCACGCUGCCAGGAGGGGCUGUGCUGUCCCACACCACGGUCAGGGCCUGCUGGGGACACUGCCAGGGCUGGGACACUGCUGGGGACACACUGCCCGUGCUGGGGGACACUGUGCUGGGAACACUGUGCCCGUGCUGGGGGACGCUGCC